GGAUGAGUAAAAACUUUCAACUAUUUCUAUUUCUUCUGUGUCAUUUAAGAGGCUUUCAAGGUGCACUGUACUUCUCAGACCAGAUCUUACUCAUAGAGGAAAUCUGAUCUGCUGCAGCACGGAAACAUCAGCGGUGAGAUGGCGAGACAAAUUCCUUAGGGAGCUGCCUGUUUUCAAGCCAAGUGUCCAUGAUAUGAUCCAGCUGGUUUACAAGGAU
ensembl:lncRNA